GCCUUCCAGCCCGGCCCGGGGCUCAGGGAGAGGCGCUGCGCCGCCGGCCCGGCGGGCGGUCCCGGGGAGCCCAGAGGGGUCAGGGUGCGGGGCAGAGCGGUGCCCGCUCCCGGCACUCAGGGUCCGGCGCCCCGUCCUUCCCGAGCCCCGCUGUGCCCUCACGGCCCCUGGCAGUCGCUGCAUUUGUGCUGUUUCUAUAAUCUCACGUCUGCCUUCGCGCCCCUCGGAGAGGGGUUGAGCCCCUGCCUGCCUCGCCCGUGCCCUUCAUCCUCCCGGACCUCACGGGUUCCACCAAAUCUCUAUUGCAGUAAUUUAGUUCCACAUUCCUUUGCAACACCCGAGGCUGGUGCCGUUGGUUUGGUGCACUGAUUGUGGGCCCUGGGCAGGAUGGCUUGGCUGCUCCAAGGCUGUCCUGGGUUGCAGGAGCGUUCACCAGCACCUUAAGGGUGUGUUUCGAGGCAAUUGUUCUGUUUUCCCCAACAUUGAAAUUGGUGGGGGGAUCAUCUUGCUUUUGAGCAGGGUGGGUUUGCUUUAUUGGAUGACUGUUGUGAUUCUUGGGGCAGUGCAGACUGGUGGGAUGUGGCCUGGCAGUCCAUGUCAGGACUUUGUGGCUAAAAUUCAAGAAGUUAGAUUUCAUACCUGAAUAUGCCAAGGCAUAGUAUACAAUAAAUGAAUCUGCUUUUUCCUGACCUUUUCUUUCCCUUUUCCCUUCUUUUCCUUUACCUUAAGUCCCCAGGUAUUUAUAAUGGAUACCCCUACAGUACAAUUCAGGGUUUCAUAGUCCUUUAACAACCUAGUACCAUUGUCAUUGAGUGUUAUUUAGUACUAAUUGCUUGGAUUACUAGGUACUUGGAAAAGAGCUCAUUUGUAUCUUUUACCUUAACUCCAUAAGGGUUUUUUUUCUCUAUUUUGUUUUCACAGUGCCUUUUCCCCUCUGAAUUUGGACAGCAUCAUCCAUGUAUCCCAGAAAUAUUCUCAUGUCACUGUAUCUAUCAAUGAGUUACAGUCUUUAAAGUUGCUUUUUGCUUUUAAAAUAGCUAAAGCUUUUUGUGACGUUUGGCUUGCCUUCAUCAUCCUGCCUACAGAGAUUCCUUCCAUGAGAAGGAGAAAAGGUUCUCUUCUGUCUGAAGCUGUGAUUGAGGGUCACUUCUCUGUUUAUUCCUGGCCUGUAGGAGGUCCCAGUUAAACAUUCUUACUGGCACAAAAUGAAUUGCAUCCAUCUGAAAUGAAUGGGAAGCUGAUGAGCCCAUUAGUUUUAGAGUUCAACCAAAAUACGUUUGAUUUUUUGUUGAUUGUCCUUAAGUUGCAAUAAGGAUUCCAAAUUGUGUUAUUUUGAUAAGUUGAUUUAAAGGAUAUGGCAACAGACAUCUCGUGAUCCAGGGGCAGGCCUUGAGGAUUUUGGAGCUGCUUAUUUGCUAUGAUUAUCUUUUUAUUAAUCAUAUUAAUCAUCAUUAUCCUUUGAUUAAUUAGAGGUGGGCUUCUCUUGGACAGCAGGCUUGGUACAAGCAUGCAGGUAUCUCACACAGGACUUUAGCCAAAGGCUAUGCCCCUCUUGCCUGAAGGGAUUUCACCCUCCAGCACAUUUGUCCAUCCCCUCUGCCCAGUGAGUGUCUGUGCCCUCCUGAAGCCUGGCAGCCCAGCACCCAGUCCUGUGUGACAGCAGGCAGAGAGCCGGGGCUGGGCCAGGCUCUGGGGAGGAGCUGCUGCUCUCCCACAGUCAGAGCCAGGCCAGGCUGAUGUGUGGGGAUCCAGUGCCUUGCUCUGUGACAGGUGUUUCACCUGGGUGCCAGAGCGCAGAGAGGGCCAGGUACUAUUGCUCCUGCCUCACAGGGAAUAUUGCCUUUUGUAGUAGCUGCACACACCAGGUGAUCAGUGGUGGGAGGGUUCUGGUGUGUGGAUUGUGUUAGCCAUACAGGGAAUACAGACAUCUGCUUUGAAUGAUUUAAACUGGAAAUACCUACAUGGAAUCUGGGAUCUCCUUAACAUAAAUGGUUGGAUCAGAGUAGAGGAUUUCACACUUGCUUGGUAGCUCAGCUUCUAGUCAUGUUAUUUGUGAACUAACUCUAGUAAUAUAUUUAGAAAGUGACGUCUAAAUUGGGUUGCUAUUAUUUAAUGUUUCAAAGCUACCAGGUAGCUUGUAUAAUUUGCAGAUUCAGCAGUCACUAGUCAUGUUUCUGAAAAUCAUGAUUCUUUAAUUUUAUUUUCACUCUUAGGUGCCUCAUUUGGUUGUGUGGUAUGUUAUACAAUUGUUAGAACACUGUGUUGGCACUACUGCAGCAGCACCUUUGAGACUGCUGGGUUUAAGAAAAUGAGGGUAUGCUCUGUAUGUUAAAGAUUGUAAGAGCAGAGACCUCCAGAGUUGUUGGGGUUUUUUUUGCUAUAAGAGUUAAGAGACAUUUCUGAAGCAAAAUAUUUAUAUGUGUAUAAAAAUAUCCUUGUUAAAAUUGAGAGAUUUAGUAGGUCAUUUUAACAUCAGUGCCUAGACUCACAUAGGAAAUGGACUGCUUGUCAGCUAUAGCCACAUAGUAAAUAGUUGUGAAAUCAUUAUUUCUUGCAUUUUACCAUUUUUGCAACUACCAUUUCACCUGUUCUUUCUGGAAUUUAAUUGCACACUACAGCCACAGGUUGGUAGGAUUUUGUGCAGCUUGUAACAAUUCCUGGUCUUUUGCUUCUGUUCAGAACUUUGUCUAAAACUGAUGUUGGAUCACAUCUAAGAAAAAGAAUCAUUUGGAAGAAUUCUAAAGUACUGGCUGUGCUUAACCAAAGUGUACUCACUAUUUACAGCUUUUGAGAAACUUGACUGCUUUUAUAUUGUUAACAGAAAAACUGAAAUUGGCCGAAGACUUGGAGGAGGGUCAUAUUUUGUGAGUAAUGUAACUUGGGUUUUUCUGUCAGGCCUUGUAGCUACCAGUACUGCUGCUGUGCUUAGAAUGAUGAGACAGCCAAAGGCAGGACUUCUCACAACAGGAUUGUUUAGGUGGGGAAAGCUCUCUGGGAUAAUUUAGUCCAACCAUUCGGAUGUCACAGGUUCUAACUGUCUUUCACCAAAUCGCUGUUUUUCACCAUUUGGAGAUUACUGUAACCAGCACUAAUGUGCAGACAGGAGGGCAGCCAACCACCAGCAGAAUGCAGCUGGGCUUCUUUGUGGAGAAAACCUUCCCAGAGGCAGCACUGAGGCAGCUCUGGCGGGCUGGGCUCUGCGGUUCCCCUGCUGACCACGCUGGGUCCUGCUGGGCCCUGCCCGUCUGUCUCUUCACCACACGUGCUUUUGGAAGUGCAGAGGGAAACACCAAUUUACAAGUGCUACAAGUCCAUGGAUUCCCUUCUGGUGACAGCCAGGAGCAGUGUGUGUCAGCCUGGUGAGGGUCAGGCUGGGCAGGGUCCUCUCACAGCUACCCAGGGACUUGGCUGAAACCCCAGGGAGCCUCCAAAGACUGGGAUGAGUGUUAGGUAGAAACAAAUUAUGAAAAUGACAUAUUAAUGUGUGGAAAAUGUGAAACUAGGUGUAAAAAAUAUGGUGAUUCAAAAUGCAGCAGUCAUGAAGACCACAGUACAGAGUUUUACUGUGCAGCUACUGGAGCUGUGUGUGACCAAGGUCCUGUCCCAUGACUGCACAGUCGUGGCUGCACUGCAGACAGCCUUGUACAAUGGCACAUAACCAUCUAGAAAGUUCUGAAAAAAGGUGCUUUUCUGGUCUAUCUUGCAUUGUUUGGAACAAUGGUUUAACUCCAUGUUAACUGUCCAUUAUGACAGUUUCAUCUCCUUGGAGGAUUUUGGCCUGGUAUGGUUUUACCAGUAAGAUAGUGCAGUAAAACCUUUGUCUUCCCGUGUAAGACAGUUGUGUAAGCAGUUCUGAGGGGGUUCCCUUGCUUACUCUUUAUUUAACCAUCAAGUUCAAACAGAACAAACCCACAAUGUAACUCUGAAAAUCAGAUGCAGGAGUAGGGAUAUGGCUAUGUCAUAUAAGAGCAUGAAAUUGCCUCUGUUUCAGUGGCUUCCAGAAGUACUUAAAAUACAAGGAAGGACAGUUCUUUGGGGAUGAGAUUUACAAACCAGCCAAAGCAGUAAAAAAGAUGUCUAAAGUCAUGGAACUUUGCUCAGCUUUAGGAUUUUUAAGGUGAAUUUUUUUAUCUUUUUAACAAAAAAGAAACCUUAUUCCUAGAAAUUAAAGUACAUUGUAUAUAACUUUUUACUUGGAGAGGUCUCUGGUUCAUAAUGGUGUCUUUGAUGAGUCGCUAUAGGAGUAACAAGUACAGAAUUAUGACACAGCUCUCUGUGCCUCAGUUCCCAAGCAGCUGGACACCUCAGUGUGCUUAGAUCCUGCAGUAUUUUGUUUUGCUUGAAGUCAAGCAAACAGAACCCAAACAGGUGACUGUUAACUGUUCAGUUAUGAAAUGAAGGGAAUGAAACUGUGAAAUUCAUUGAGUUUGUAGAUAGGGUGACACAGUGCUGGGAAGGUGGAAUCAUACUCAAUCUAAGGUCUUUAUGUUCUUUUGCCCAAACUUGUGGUGACUCAUCACAUGCCUCUGGCUGUUGCAGUGGGUGAAAGGCUGUGGGGAAGUUAAUCUUAAAAGCCAAAACUGAGGCUAAGAAAUGCAAUGAGAGGGUUGGAGAAGCACAAAGUUAGGGGGAGAGGAAGCAGAAAAGUGGAAAAUGAAGCACAGCAAGCACAGGCUCUUGACAGUAAUUUUUUUAAUGGAUAUUUGUGCAGUGUGGUUUAACAGGGACAGUUAACAAUCUUACUGUGGUGUAAAGUCUGAACCUGUGACCCCUGUGCACACUUCACUGACCACAACAAGAAGUGAUAGGAGAUGAAAGAGAACAUUUAAUUUUUCACAGGCUUCAUCUGAUUGGUUUUUUCUCUGUCACAGUUGACUGGUAGAACAAAUUUAUCAUUUUCAUAGCUGGUCUGCAUGUUUUCACUGUGCUAGCAUGCACUAAGAAGAAAAGCCAGGUCUGAGUGUUGUGCUGUGUUGUGGUGUGUGGCAGGAGCACAGGGACCCUGUCCCCUGGGCCACCAUGCCAGGCAGCAGCUUUGUCCUGCCUGUGUCUUGGUGACAGCCCUGACAGACGGUUCUGUUUUUCCAGCUCACAGUUACUGUAGGUGAUUGUUUCUGCACCACUUUCUGCUGCACGUUCAGUCACCCACAUGAUGCAGCUGGGGAGCUCUGGAGCUUUGUUCAGGGCGUUAUUUUCUUCAUUCAACUUGCUUUCCCUGGUAAGAUCUGUAAAUGUCUGUGUGCUGUUGCCACCUCUGAUCACAAAUUAUUUUGCUGUAAAUGCUUGUUACUUGUUAAAAAUCCAAAGGACUUUUGAAUCACGGAUACAUACAUUUAUCUGUGAUACACAAUUUCUACCUAAAGCAUUCACUGUCUUCAAAAGCAUUUAAUAAUAAUUCUGAAGUCUAAAAAGCCAUGUUUUCCCAGCAAAAUGAUAAGAGUCUAACCUUAUACCAAAUUUUUCUUUGGCCACAAAAAACUUGAUCCUAGCUAUAAGCAGCAGUCAGCUUGCCUGAUGUUAGCUCAUCAAAGAAGAGUCCGUGUAUAUUUAAUAUUUAGAAUAUUUUGGUGUGAAUUUUUGGUAGUUGAAGUACUACUUAGUUUCAUCAUGGAGAGAAUUAUUUCUGCCGUAGGUGUAGUGCUUUUCUCUCAUUUGCAUCCACUCAAAUAAAUAUCACAUUUUUGAGGAACAGAGUCUAUGAAAAUUGUUGUGCUCAAAGUUGUCUGUGUAAUCUUAGAAGAGAUGCAUUCUGAAAGUCUAAUAUUGUGCAACUGUAGAGCAGCCACUGGUACAGGGAAAGGAAACACUAAGAUUGUAAAAAUGGGAGGAGUGGGCAAAAGUAGAAAUGAAGAAAGGGGAAAAUAGCCUAAGAAUGGUGCAGUUUCAUUCAGAAGGUUUUAUCUUCUUUCAAAAUGCCUCUCAAAAGACAAUAAAUCGUUCUGUCUCUCAGCUGAACUGUUCACUGUGGAAGGUGAGCGUGCGGCAGGCUGGAGGAGCAGCGACGCUGCCCUGGAGCUGGGGCAGCUCCUGCAGUGCUGCACUCGUGGGGCCUCCCCAGGGACCUGGGCGUGCUCCAGGAGGUCCUGAUCUUGCCGUGCCCCCGUGCCAUGGGUGGGCAGUCCCCCAGCACCACUGCUGUGACCACACAGCGAGUGCCUGCGGAGGAGCCGUCGCAUCUCAGGCAGGAGCGGUUUUGGAGCAGACAGAUGAGUUUUUGCUGUCAGCCUUCACACAGCUGCGAGCAGAGCCAUGAUGGUGGUACUCUGAAGAAGAAGAGUCCAGUCAUGUGCUGUGUGGCUCUCCAUCCUCACCUGUGUGUGCUGCUGCCAGCCCCAGGCCCAGUGGUGCUGGCAGUGCAUCCUCAGCGGGUGCUGGCGUGCCUGCAGCCGCUCGCCCGCGCCCUUUGGGCCCUCCCGCUCUGAGUGCUGCCCUUCCCAGUCUGGGCUCAGGGUAUGUGAAGACAAAUGUGGGACAGAUGCAUCUAAUACGGUUUGUCUGUACUCUGUGUCCAGCUGGCAUAUGGCUUUUUAAAGCCCUAUGACUCAGGUGGGUUGCAUUUCACUAGGACAGUGAAAGGAUUCCUUCCAUUACAGUCUUCUUUGAAAGUCAAAUAUAAAAUGCACAACGAAGACCACUUUUCUUAAAUGAAGAAACAUGACUUCCAUAUGUAAAAAAACUUCCAGUGUUACUGCUUUGACUGAACCAUCUGAACAGCUGUCCUCUGCAGCACAAACCUCCUCCUUGUUUUGGGUAAGAAUAGUGUGUGCUUCUAGGAGUUGGGACAUGCAGCAUGGCUUUGUUACAGAGCUAGAAACAGGUGCAGUUCUAGCACUUGCCAUUGGAAAAAAACACAGAAAAAGAGAGGAAGGGAACAUUAGCACCAGCUAGACUAUUUUGUGUGUUGGUAAUAUACACCCAUUUUCUGUGCCACCAUUAGUAGGUGUUUGUGGAGGAGAUGGUGGCUUGCCAACAAGUGCUCCAGCCAUGAAUUAAACAGCAAGGGCAUUUCAGAGCCAUUGGUGGUCUGGUUUUGGAUAGAGGUUAGCAGGUUGAAUUGGGAUGCACCAGCAGCAUCCUGGUUCCCUGGAUCCAAAGAGAACACACUGGUGAUGGAGCAGGGACCCUCUCGCCGUGGUGGGCUCACGUUUCAGGUGCUGUGCCGUGCCCUCUGCUUGGCCCAAGGUAUGCAGCUUUUAGAUGAAGCCUUUAUACACCCUAAGAGCAAUCCCACAGUGUUCCCACCAGCGUGUGACAGCUCUGGGGUGCCAGGCUGGCCACUGCUCCUCGGUCGUCCUCUGAGAAUGGUUUUGGAAUGAAAGUCUCCCGGUGAGUUCCCGGCCCCUGGCACUAGAUGGAGCCUCAAUCUACUUGCACUUUGUUAAGAACCACGACAAGAUAAAAAUAGAGACGAAUACAUGAAGAUAUGCAUGCCUGCUGCUACACUGACAGCACCUCUUUCCAUGUUUUUUAUCAGAGUGGUGUAAAUCAUUAUUUAAAUUUAAUCUAAAUGAAAAUUAAAACAUUGCUGCAGAAUCUGCUUGUUCUAGUGCAUGCAUUAUAAUCAUUAGCACCCUUUAAUGUACUCUCAGGUUCACCAUGGAAGUUGCUGUAAGUUAAGUAUACUGGAACUGUGCUGCAGAAUUUAGGUAAUGCCUGGGCUGUGCUGAAUUAAGGUAAUGCCUUUUCUGAACAAAGUACCUGCUUAUAUUUCAGGAUGUGGUGGGGAUGACCACCCUUUCUGUCUACUGUGCUCAUGCAAGAAUACACUUGUAUUUUCACUUUGUGCUACCAAAGCUAACAUUUCAGAAUCAUCUGGUUUAAGUCACUUCAUUUUUCCUCCAUGUGUUACCCUUGAAAAUAUUGAACAAAUAGAAACAAAAAUGAGCUUUGAAUAUGAUCUUUUAAUUUAGCAAGUGCCAUGUCUAACAGGCCACACACACAUAGCAGAAAUUCAGGCCAUCUUUUCCUUCCACAGAAGUAACUGGAAGUAGAUUUAGUUUUGUUCUUGGGUGCCCGUGAUCUUAUCAGCAAGAGACUGGUUUAUUCAAAACUUUUGUCCAAACACUGAAGUAGUCAUAAAAGAAACUGAAGUUGGGAACCGAAAUGGUGACACUCAUAACAGAUUCUGUCAUUAAAGCACUGAGAUAUUGUUUUGUUUCUUCACUACAAAAUCUGACUUUGAAUUUCAGUCUUCUUCAGAGGCUUUGUGCCAACCAGCAGGAGGAUAGGGACAGGGGAGAUGCCCAGAAGGCCUCAGGAGGGCAGGGAGCAUUUGUUGGGUGCCUGGGGUGUCCUGCAGAGGUUGCACAGAAAUUGUCAUUGUGUUCUCUUAAGGAAAGCUUUGCUUGUUUUUUUUAAAUAAAUCUGUUAUUUGCCUCA